GCGGAAUUCGUGAGACCAGAAGAUGAUAGUAUUGGGAAGCAGGCCCUCUGGGAUGUCCUUUUGCCACCAUAGAGGAACUGUUGGGAAAGGAAUCUCUCCGUGUAUGAAGGAGACCUCAGAGGGCUCGCCAUGAACACAGGCAGCAAGAACCCAGCAGUUUGCAAAUCAGAGGAGGAUCUACACCAGAACCCUAACCCUACCAGCACACUGAUCCUAGACUUACCACAACUGGAAGUGAAACUUUCCAUUGUUGAGAAGCCAGUUUGUAGUAUUUUGACGUAAGAACUUGAAUGA
rnacentral:sRNA from 1 species